GAUGAAGAACGCAGCGAAAUGCGAUACUUGGUGUGAAUUGCAGAAUCCCGUGAACCAUCGAGUCUUUGAACGCAAGUUGCGCCUCAAGCCAUUAGGUUGAGGGCACGUCUGCCUGGGCGUCACAUAUCGUUGCCUGAUGCCAGUUUCCUCGUGAUGGGUGACUGUGCAGGGCGAAUGAUGGCUUCCCGUGAGCAUUGUUGCCUCAUGGUUGGUUGAAAAUUGAGUCCUUGGUAGGGAGCGCCGUGAUAGAUGGUGGUUGAGUGACGAACGAGACCCAAUCAUGUGAGACCCCUACCGAAUUUGGCCUUCAUGACCCACAUGCUUCUUUGGAACGCUCAUGACGAGACCUCAGGGCAGGCGGGGCUACCCGCUGAGUUUAAGCAUAUCAAUAAGCGGAGGA
rnacentral:misc_RNA from 1 species